rnacentral:rRNA from 1 species
AUGACGAUGGUCCUGGAUGCCUUCGCAUCCUACUUGCAAAACAUGCUCACGGAGAUGGUGAGUGAAGAGGUGCACAUGCUGCUUGGAGUCACAAAUGAGAUCAAGAAGAUGGACGUCAAGCUUAAGGACCUCAAGAACUUCCUCGCCGACGCUGACCGGAGAAACAUCACCGACGAGAGUGUGCAAGAGUGGGUGGCCCAGCUCAAGCGUGCCAUGUAUGAAGCAACAGAUAUCCUUGACCUCUGUCAGCUCAAGGCCAUGGAGCGCGGUCCAUCCCCUGCAGAUGUGGGGUGCUUCAAUCCCUUGCUCUUCUGCAUGCGGAAUCCCUCCCAUGCCCAUGACAUCGGCACCCGCAUCAAGGCGCUCAACCAGAAUCUUGAUGCCAUCAAGGAGCGAAGCUCUGCUUUGAGCUUCAUACCACUUGGUUCCUCUGAAGAUCAUAGCAGCAAGAUCCAUGGCUCUCAUUCCGGUGAUACCAGGCGUGAGACGUCAGGGGAGUUUGAUCAGUCGGGUGUAGUCGGAGAGAAGAUCGAACAAGAUACAAAAAAGCUGGUUGAGACCAUGCUAACUGAAAAGGAGGGCAACACCAACAUCAUGGUGGUCGCCAUUGUUGGUGUCGGCGGAAUUGGCAAGACCACUCUUGCGCAAAAGGUCUUCAAUGAUGAAGCCUUGAAUGCUGAGUUCGAGAAGCCGAUAUGGUUGAGCAUCAACAAGGACUUUGACAAGGUUGAGUUGCUUAGGACAAUCAUCACGCAAGCCGGGGGAGUAGUACAUGGGGGUGAAAAGGCGUUGGCUGUGCUUCAGCCAAUCCUUGCCACUACCUUGAAAGGGAAGAAGCUAUUCCUGGUGCUAGAUGAUGUUUGGAACCAUAGAGCAUGGGAUGAUGUGCUUAAAACAUCAUUGGCUAAUGUUGUGGCUCGUGGUAGCCGAGUCCUCGUCACUACUAGAGAUGAAACAGUAGCUCGAAGGAUGAAAGCUGUGCUUCCCUACCACCACGUGGACAAAUUAGAGGAGGAGGAUGGCUGGUUAUUGCUGAAGAAACAGAUAUUAUCAAGUGAGAUUGAUGACCGUGACAUUGAUAUGCUCAAGGAUAUUGGAGUGCAAAUUGUAGCAAAAUGUGAUGGUUUGCCUCUUGCUGUCAAAGUAAUGGGAGGAGUCUUGUGUCAGAAGGACAGAAAACACCGUGAGUGGGAGAUGGUUCUGAAUGAUUCUAUAUGGUCAAUAUCUGGACUGCCCGAAGAGCUGAACCAUGCAGUAUAUUUAAGCUAUGAAGAUUUACCUUCUUGUGCCAAACAAUGCUUUCUACACUACUCCCUUCUCCCUAAAACCACAGUGUUCCGUUGCAAUGAAAUCACUGGCAUGUGGCUUAGUGAAGGAUUUCUUCACGGAACUUCCGAUGACUUGGAAGAACUAGGAAGCAAGUACUAUAAGGAGCUGAUACUGAGGAAUCUUAUAGAGCCAAAUACAAAUUAUGUUGAUCAAGUUGUUUGCAACAUGCAUGAUGUUGUUCGCUCAUUUGCUCAAUUUGUUGCUAGAGAUGAGGCACUAGCAGCUCACAGUGGAGAAACUAGUAUUGUUGGUAAACUUAGUGCACAUGAUUUUCUUCGGUUAUCUCUAGAAAGCAAAGCAUUGGAAUCAGAUAGGUUAAACUGGAGUUCCCUGCAAGCACAAAAGGCAUUGAGGGUACUAAUGUCAGUUGGGUAUAUAGAUAUCAAGCCUGGUGAUUCGUUGGUUCAUUUUCCAUGUCUACGAACUUUACAUAUCGAUUCUGCAAAUGUUGUAGCUUUGCUUGAAUCUUUGCAUGAACUCAAGCACCUGAGGUACUUGUCCUUAAAGAACACUAAUAUAUCUAGUCUGCCUGAUAGCAUUGGAAAGAUGAAAUUCUUGCAGUACAUUAGCCUUCAAGAAUGCAAACAAUUUGUGAAACUUCCGCAUAGCUUUGUAAAGUUAGGGCCGCUAAGGUACCUUAACUUCAUUGCAACAAGCAUAGAAGGCAUACCUAGGGGGUUUCAUGCUCUAACGAACUUGAGGGUAUUAGUUGGGUUUCCAGCCCAUGUGGAUGGUGAUUGGUGUAGUUUGGAAGAGUUGGGUUCUCUUUCUCAGCUCAAUCAUCUUGAAUUGGACAGAUUGGAUAAUAUAACUGCUUCCUCAUCUGCAGCAAAGGCAAAGCUUGCCGACAAGGUGCAUCUUACUAUUCUAUACUUAAAUUGUGGUAGUAUAUUGGGAGAUGAUGGGCUGAUUAAAGAGGAAGAUGGUGUCUCCGAUAAAGAGCAACAACAGAUCGAGAAGGUGUUCGAUGAGCUCUGCCCUCCACCCAGGUUAGAAGAUCUUGAGAUCAAAGGAUAUUUUGGCCGAUGGCUCCCAAGGUGGAUGAUGUCAUCAUCAGUUAUGCCCCUCAAGAGCUUGAGGAUUAUGUUCAUUACUGACCUGGCUUGCUGCACACAACUUCCUGAUGGCCUUUGUCAGCUCCCUUAUUUGGAGUUCAUUCAGAUCAAUCGUGCUCCAGCCAUCAAGCGUGUUGGAACUGAAUUCAUACAAUCCUACAAUCACCACAGUCCCCGUCCUUUCCAGAUGGUGGCUGCAUUUCCGAAAUUGCAUGAGUUGUAUUUUAUAGGAAUGGUGGAAUGGGAGGAGUGGGAGUGGGAGGAGCAAAUGCAAGCCUUUCCUGUCUUGCAGAAACUUAUGCUACAGCGCUGCAAAUUGAAGUGUCUUCCUCCUGUACUUGCCUCCCAGGCAAGGGCUUUGAAUAAAUUAUCCAUAUACCGUGUCCACAGUCUCAUCUCUCUAGAGAACUUUCCAUCUCUGGUUGACCUGGAACUAGAUGAAAACCUUGACCUGGAGAUGAUCACUAAUCUUCCAAGACUGCAGAAGCUUACCAUUGAAAACUGCCCAAAGCUGAAGGUGUUGGAGGGCGUUCCUGCACUCCAUAGGCUCGUUCUUGCGUAUAACGACAUGGAAACAAUCCCAAAAUACAUGGGAGGUAUAAACCCAAGGCAUUUGGAGCUAUACUGCAGCCUAGCACUGCUCGUUUCCGUAGCUGCGGGACAAUCUAGCCCUGAGUGGGACAAGUUCAGCCAUGUUGAGCAUGUCAAGGCAUAUGCACGCGAAGGAGGUAAUUCAAGGAAAUGGUAUGUCUUGUACGCAGCUGAUCCCUACAAUUUGGAGACAAAUGUCAGCCGUUCUUUCAUGUCCAGAGGAACCUUAACCUCCUUUGAGGACACACAACAAUUUGGGUAUGUCUUCAAAAUGACAAGAAAAACAUUUAGCUACAUCUGCAGCUUGGUUAUGAAGCCGUCAAUGGAAGAUAUGAACAACUACACAUUUGUUGACGGGAGGGUACUUUCUUUAGAAGAUCGAGUGGCCGUUGCUCUGAGAAGGUUGCAAUCUAGUGAGCUACCGGAGUCCAUAGGGUCCUCCCUUGGUGUGAGCGAGUCAACUCUCUUGUUGGUAACCGAGAGCUUCAUUGUGGCUGUGGACAAGAGAGCAGGGCACCAUUCGCGCUGGCCAGACUCCAGCGAAAUGGAUAAGGUCAAAUCCAUGUUUGAAAAGAUCCACAAUAUGCAUAACUGCUGCGGUGUUAUAUGUACAACUCACAUCCCAUUUGGACAAUGCUGGGACCGUGAGAAGAAUGAAACCAUCCUAGUACAACUCGUCAUUGAUCCAGCGAUGAGGUUCAGGACCAUUUGGUGGGGACGGAUAAGCAGCAUGGACCAGUCAAGCAUUUUGCAUGAAUCUUAUUUUUUCAAGGAGUGUGAGAAGGGUGCUCGGCUGAAUGGCAGCAAGUUGAAGGUUGGAUUAGAUGGACCAGAAGUCGGGGAAUACAUAAUUGGUGAUGCAGGAUACCCGCUUCUCCCAUGGCUACUCACACCUUACCAGGAAGAAGACCUCUCAUAUUCCAAAGCAGAGUUCAAUAGUAGACACAACGCAGCCACAACCUGCGCUCAGAAGGCGCUGGCAAGGUUCAGAGACACAUGGACGUACCUGCAGGGAGAGACGUCGUGCCCUGUCAAUCAGAAAACUAUAGUUGCCACAAUCCAUGCCUGCUGCUACUUGCAUAAUAUAAUCAUUGAUAUGGAAGAUGAUGCAGCCAUGCCGAGUGUUAAGAAGCCGGAUUACAGUGGGGAAGUGCGCCAGUUAGCAAAUGAGGAUGCCGGCAGAGCAAGGGAUAUGCUGGCGCAAUACUUCUCGACCACCAUGUCAUCCAAAUCAGGAGGUGAACUAACACAACUUCUCCUACAUCUUAAUUUGUUCAUUUGGUUGCCAGGUCCACUAAUAUUUCAUAAUCAUUUCCUCCUGCUGUUUCCAUCCUUUAUAUGUUUUUUUAGUCGGCUUGGUGGAUGUAGAGGAGGACGAUGA